GUAGCGGCGAGCGAAACGGGAAAAGCCCAAACCAACAAGCUUGCUUGUUGGGGUUGUAGGACUCCAAUAUGGUAGUUUUUUCAGAUAAUCGAAUGACUUGGAAAAGUCAGUCAAAGAGGGUAAAAACCCCGUAGAUGAAAUUUGGAAGACACCUAGGAGGAUCCUGAGUACGGCGGAACACGAGGAAUUCCUUCGGAAUCCGGGAGGACCAUCUCCCAAGGCUAAAUACUCCCUAGUGACCGAUAGUGAACCAGUACCGUGAGGGAAAGGUGAAAAGCACCCCGGAAGGGGAGUGAAAUAGAACCUGAAACCGUGUGCCUACAACAAGUCAAAGCCCGUUAAUGGGUGAUGGCGUGCCUUUUGUAGAAUGAACCGGCGAGUUACGAUUGCAUGCGAGGUUAAGUCGAAGAGACGGAGCCGUAGCGAAAGCGAGUCUGAAUAGGGCGUUUGAGUAUGUAGUCGUAGACCCGAAACCAUGUGAUCUACCCAUGUCCAGGUUGAAGGUGCGGUAAAACGCACUGGAGGACCGAACCCACGUACGUUGAAAAGUGCGGGGAUGAGGUGUGGGUAGCGGAGAAAUUCCAAACGAACUUGGAGAUAGC
rnacentral:rRNA from 1 species